GCACAGAGUACACAUGAUACUCCCUACAGAGUACCUUCAAGGAAUCUAUGAAUUCAGUGGUCCUGCGACAUCAGGAGAAGAAAGGGGUGAAGAAACAGUCCUGUGGAAGAGAAAUAACUUGCUAAGUUGCUCUUAAAACUCGAGAGGAGAGGCAUUGUUCCCUCUUUCCUGACUUCUGAUUUAUUGGAUCAGUGCCCUUCCCUUCUCAUUCUUACAUUGGAACUGACACCUGUGCUCCUGGCUGCCUGGCAGAAGGGCAGAGACUAGAGAAGAAACAUCCUUCCAAUACAGCAUCUGCACAGUCACCCUGACUACUGGCCUCUCCUGCUGCCUCCCAUGUCUGCUGCUUCCUGGCUCAGAGCACCAUAACCUUCUCAUCUUUUGACAGAGUCCUCUUUUCUGGGACUUGGGACUAUGGUUCCAUCUUUAAGAUGGCUCCUCAUUCCUCACAAAUUCUAGAUCAUCAAGAACACCACUUCAUAUUUAUAUGUGCUUCUAUUGAUUUUGUUAACCUUAAAAAUAAAAC